AUUGAACGCUGGCGGCAGGCCUAACACAUGCAAGUCGAGCGGAGCGGCGGACGGGUGAGUAAUGCCUAGGAAUCUGCCUGGUAGUGGGGGAUAACGUCCGGAAACGGGCGCUAAUACCGCAUACUAUCAGAUGAGCCUAGGGCGGCUUAGCUAGUUGGUGGGGUAAAGGCCUACCCAGGCGACGAUCCGUAACUGGUCUGAGAGGAUGAUCAGUCACACUGGAAUUUAGACACGGUCCAGACUCCUACGGGAGGCAGCAGUGGGGAAUAUUGGACAAUGGGCGAAAGCCUGAUCCAGCCAAGCCGCGUGUGUGAAGAAGUUCUUCGGAUUGGAAAGCUCUUUCAGUUGGGAGGCGUUACCAACAGAAUAAGCACCGGCUAACUUCGUGCCAGCCGCCGCGGUAAUUC
rnacentral:rRNA from 1 species